AACGAACGCUGGCGGCAUGCCUAACACAUGCAAGUCGAACGAGAAUCCCUUCGGGGAGGAAAGUGGCGCACGGGUGCGUAACACGUGGAUAACCAACCCAUUGGUUUGGGACAACACCGGGAAACUGGUGCUAAUACCAGAUGUGUCGCAGCUGUCUUCAGGCGGUUGCGAGAAAGGCCCGCAAGGGUCGCCAACGGACGGGUCCGCGUCCCAUCAGCUAGUUGGUGAGGUAAUGGCUCACCAAGGCAAAGACGGGUAGCUGGUCUGAGAGGAUGAUCAGCCACACCGGAACUGAGACACGGUCCAGACUCCUACGGGAGGCAGCAGUGGGGAAUAUUGCGCAAUGGGCGAAAGCCUGACGCAGCCACGCCGCGUGAGCGAUGAAGGUCUUCGGAUCGUAAAGCUCUGUGGGGGGAGAAGAAGAAAGCCGGUGAAGAGCCGGCCCUGACGGUAUCCCCUUAGCAAGCACCGGCUAACUCCGUGCCAGCAGCCG
rnacentral:rRNA from 1 species